rnacentral:rRNA from 1 species
AGCUCCAAUAGUGUAUAUUAAAAUUUUUACAGUUAAAAAGCUCGUAGUUGGAUUUGACUCGGCCUUAGCAUCUUCUUGGUGAACGUAUCUGCACUUGCCUGUGUAAUGUGGCGGCCAAAACUUUUACUAUGAAGAACUUAGCGUGUUUCAAGCAUGCAUAUGCCUUGAAUACAUUAGCAUGGACAAAUUUCUAUUUUGUUGGUUUGUACAGCUGAGGUAAUGCAUAGUUCAGGGCAUUCGUAUUUAACUGUCAGAGGUGAAAUUCUUGGAUUUGUUAAAGACGGACUGGUGCAAAAGCAUUAGCCAAGCAUGUUU